rnacentral:rRNA from 1 species
ACGUAGGAGGCGAGCGUUAUCCGGAUUUACUGGGCGUAAAGCGCGUGCAGGCGGCUCGAAAAGUUGGAUGUGAAAGCUCCUGGCUUAACUGGGAGAGGUCGUUCAAUACUUUCGAGCUAGAGGAUGGGAGAGGGAGGUGGAAUUCCGGGUGUAGUGGUGGAAUGCGUAGAGAUCGGGAGGAACACCAGUGGCGAAAGCGGCACCCUGGCAUUGGCCUGACGCUGAGGUGCGAAAGCGUGGGGAGCAAACGG